CGCUCAGUCAACGUCAACAUGCAUGUUGAGUCAAAGGUCCCCGAAUGUCACGCUGGUGUAACGAGGGAACGCAUCUUGUUUCGCCGGCUGAAUGGACUAGAGUUUGGGGCAACUAAUGCCAAACAAUUAAAAACACAAAUUUCCCACCGUGUGAAACCACGCACUGGCAACAUGCGAGGGCAACAGCUGGUCAGACAUCUCAUGCUGCUUAAUUACCACUGACAAUCCCGUGGCUCUUAA
rnacentral:lncRNA from 1 species